GGGAAACAGCCAUGGGAGAGGGUUUAGAGCUGGUCUUCCAUAUUUUAGCUUCAAGUUGACAUCGCAACGUUAGGGGUUUCCUCGUUGCAGCGCAACAUAUUGACUAAGUCUAAUCACAAUGACCCAUGAUUGAUGUCAAGUCGUGGCAUGGUGGCCUGAUCUCGUCACUAUAAAAUUUGCUUUGAUGUCACAAUGUGACAUGCUGUUUCUACAAGACGAAGAUGGAGAGGGACCAAACGAAAAUGGGAAAUUCAAGCUAGUAGGUGAUGCAUCCUUGAGGUAUUUUACCGAACCAUGUCAAUGUAUAAAAUGUGCCAAUUUUGCAAGUUGUGCUAAGACGAAUGAUGUUAAGAGUGGACUGUGAUGACGCACGAUCUGCCUUCGUGUAGGUAGGACGUGCUAUACAAGAUGCUGGAGAGGGACUAAGCCAGAAACUUACGAGCCAGUGUGAGUUGUUCUUCUAUGUUGUUUCAUGCAUAUAGUGGGGAAAUCUUUAGGCUAAGCCUCAAGAUCAGGAAUCAUUGUAACAAAAAUUUAAGAACAAUGUAAUUAAUUCAACGUGGGUCGAAGGUCACAAAUUAAUGAAAAUAUUUUUACUAA